rnacentral:rRNA from 1 species
AUGGCUUCUCCAGGGGGUGGUCAUGGGAACCAUGAUGAUAAUGGAUCAGAACCACCAACAGAUGUGCAAGAAACCGCAGCUAGCAAUGCGAAAGAUCGUAUUAAUGAAAGGGUACCAAAGAUUGGAAUGAAUUUUUUAUCUAAUGAAGAGGCUUAUUCCUUUUAUAACAAGUAUGCUGAAGUUAUGGGUUUCAGCAUCCGGGGAGGUAGUAAGCAUAAAGUUUACGAAUUUGAGGAGACACAUAACCACAUUCAUGCUACUGGAACCAUGGCCCAAUACUUGAGAUCUCACAGAAAAGUGACAGAUGCACAAAUAGCGGCUGCAGAGGUCGCAAAGUCUGUAGGCAUUUCUAAUAAAGCAACUAUUGAUCUUAUGGCCAAAGAAGCAUGUGGACAAGAAAACCUUGGUUUUAUCCCUCAAGACAUGAAAAAUCGGUUGUACUCAAAAAGAACAUUGCAAGCAGCGAAAGGUGAUACAGGGGGAGUGUUAGAAUAUAUGGAGAAGAAGGAUGAAGAAGAAUUUAUAAGUGCAUGGAAUGAUAUGCUUGAUAAGUAUGGACUACGUGAGAAUACAUGGCUCCAAAGGUUGUUCGAGAAAAGGGAGCAAUGGGCACUAGUGUAUGGUAGAAAUACAUUCUCUGCCCACAUGAGCACUACCCAACGAAGUGAAAGCAUGAACAAUGAACUGAAGCGUUACAUCAGUAUUAAAUAUGACAUGCUUACUUUUUUCGAGCAUUUCGAACGGCUUGUUGCAGAUAAAAGAUUUGAAGAAGUGAAGUGUGACUUCAAGGCAUCACAAACUACUCCCAAGAUGAAGGCGGAAUGUAGCUAUAUAUUAAGUCAAGCUGUAACUACAUAUACUCCAGCAAUAUUCAAGAUGUUUCAAGAGGAAGUGCUUCUGACCCUGAAUUAUGACACGUUCCUUCGUGAUGAUAGUGAUACAGACCAAAAGUUUUACACGGUAAAAUUUCAUGACACAAAACGUGAGCAUGUUGUUAGAUUUGCUCCAAAUGAAGAAAGGGUGAAUUGUAGUUGCAAGAAGUUUGAAUUUGCUGGAAUUUUGUUCCAUCAUUGCUUAAAGGUACUUGAUAUCAAUAAUAUCAAGCAUAUCCCUGAACAAUAUAUCUUGAAAAGGUGGACAAUAGACGCCAAAGUUCUCGAGAUAACAAGCAAUCGCAAUCUACAUGAGGAUCGAAAAGCAAAAAUGUCAAACUACUACAAGGAGUUGUGCAGAAUGUUUGUGAAAAUAGCUGCUCGUGCCUCUGAAUCGGACGAAACAUAUGAUAUGGUUGCUAAAUGCGCAGAGCAGCUAGCAGAAGCUGUGGAGAAACACUUGAAAAAUAGAACUGAUCCUGAUCCUGAUCCUGAUAUGGGAAAUUCCUCUGUUUCGCAAGGUCCGCUUAUCGACUCUAGUAGAGUUUCAAAACACAACGAGGGGCUUGCCAAGCCAAGAGGUAUCAAGGAGAAGGAGAAGACUACACGAGGAUCAGCAAGACCCAUUGGUGGAUUGGAGAAAGCAAUAACAAAGAAGAAAAAGAAGACAGAUGAUCCUGUACCAGUACAACCUCAAAGCACAUCAAUGGGGUAUUUGGAUUUUAUGCAAAAUCAAAUGGGUGCACUGCAAUUGCAGUACAAUCCAUUCUUAAAUGCUUCAAUGCAGCAAUCGCUUGGGUCAUUUGGAGUAUAUGACAAAUCAAAUGGUUGCACCGCAGAUGCAGUACAACCCAUUGCUAAGUGCCUCAAUGCAGUCAUCACAUGGAAAUACAUUCUCGAUGCCAAUGAACCAAAGAAUGGUGGCAGGAUUCCAACAAUACAAUACACUAAUGGGUCAUCAAACAACCACAUCUGCACCGAUUUCCAAGUGCACAACUCGGCAUUGCAGCAACAGAGCAUUGGACCCUCUGCCUCUACUUUAAUGACAGGACAAAAUCAAGUCAUCUUCCAUGAACCGAAGCCAACUUAA